rnacentral:rRNA from 1 species
GACAGAGGGGGCAAGCGUUGCUCGGAAUUACUGGGCGUAAAGGGCGCGUAGGCGGGAUGGCAAGUCGGUCGUGAAAUCCCUCGGCUCAACCGAGGAACGUCGAUCGAUACUGCUGUUCUUGAGGAUUGCAGAGGAGACUGGAAUCCCCGGUGUAGCGGUGAAAUGUGUAGAGAUCGGGAGGAACACCGGUGGCGAAGGCGGGUCUCUGGGCAAUUCCUGACGCUGAGGCGCGAAAGCGUGGGGAGCAAACGGG